rnacentral:misc_RNA from 1 species
GAUGAAGAACGUAGCGAAAUGCGAUACGUAGUGUGAAUUGCAGAAUUCAGUGAAUCAUCGAAUCUUUGAACGCACAUUGCACCUAUCGGUAUUCCGGGAGGUAUGCCUGUUCGAGCGUCAUUUGUACCCUCAAGCUCUGCUUGGUGUUGGGUGUUUGUUCCGCCUCUGUGUGUGAACUCGCCUCAAAACAAUUGGCAGCCGGCGUACUUGUUUCGGAGCGCAGCACAUUUUGCGAUCCAGAUCAACGUACAGCGGCAUCCAAGAAGCCUUAUUUAACGCUCUUGACCUCGGAUCAGGUAGGGAUACCAGCUGAACUUAAGCAUAUCAAUAAGCGGAGGA